rnacentral:rRNA from 1 species
CCUACGGGAGGCAGCAGUGGGGAAUUUUGCGCAAUGGGGGAAACCCUGACGCAGCAACGCCGCGUGAGUGAUGAAGGCCUUCGGGUCGUAAAGCUCUUUUAGUGGGGAAGAAGCCCACCCGGGCUAAUAUCCCGGGUGUCUGACGGUACCCACAGAAAAAGUUCCGGCUAACUACGUGCCAGCAGCCGCGGUAAUACGUAGGGAGCAAGCGUUGUUCGGAAUUAUUGGGCGUAAAGAGCGCGUAGGCGGUUCGGUAAGUCUGACGUGAAAUCCCGGAGCUCAACUCCGGAACUGCGUUGGAUACUGCCGGGCUUGAGUGUGGGAGAGGAGAGUGGAAUUCCCAGUGUAGAGGUGAAAUUCGUAGAUAUUGGGAGGAACACCCGUGGCGAAGGCGGCUCUCUGGACCACAACUGACGCUGAGGCGCGAAAGCUAGGGUAGCAAACGGGAUUAGAUACCCCGGUAGUCCUAGCCGUAAACGAUGGGCACUAGGUGUUGGAGGUAUCGACCCCUCCAGUGCCGCAGCUAACGCAUUAAGUGCCCCGCCUGGGGAGUACGGUCGCAAGACUAAAACUCAAAAGG